GAUGAACGCUGGCGGCGUGCCUAAUACAUGCAAGUCGAGCGAACAGACGAGGAGCUUGCUCCUCUGACGUUAGCGGCGGACGGGUGAGUAACACGUGGAUAACCUACCUAUAAGACUGGGAUAACUUCGGGAAACCGGAGCUAAUACCGGAUAAUAUAUUGAACCGCAUGGUUCAAUAGUGAAAGACGGUUUUGCUGUCACUUAUAGAUGGAUCCGCGCCGCAUUAGCUAGUUGGUAAGGUAACGGCUUACCAAGGCAACGAUGCGUAGCCGACCUGAGAGGGUGAUCGGCCAAACUGGAACUGAGACACGGUCCAGACUCCUACGGGAGGCAGCAGUAGGGAAUGUUCCGCAAUGGGCGAAAGCCUGACGGAGCAACGCAGCGUGAGUGAUGAAGGUCUUCGGAUCGUAAAACUCUGUUAUUAGGGAAGAACAAAUGUGUAAGUAACUAUGCACGUCUUGACGGUACCUAAUCAGAAAGCCACGGCUAACUACGUG
rnacentral:rRNA from 1 species